GUGGAUGCCCUGGCAGUCAGAGGCGAUGAAGGACGUGCUAAUCUGCGAUAAGCGUCGGUAAGGUGAUAUGAACCGUUAUAACCGGCGAUUUCCGAAUGGGGAAACCCAGUGUGAUUCGUCACACUAUCAUUAACUGAAUCCAUAGGUUAAUGAGGCGAACCGGGGGAACUGAAACAUCUAAGUACCCCGAGGAAAAGAAAUCAACCGAGAUUCCCCCAGUAGCGGCGAGCGAACGGGGAGGAGCCCAGAGCCUGAAUCAGUGUGUGUGUUAGUGGAAGCGUCUGGAAAGGCGCGCGAUACAGGGUGACAGCCCCGUACACAAAAAUGCACAUACUGUGAGCUCGAUGAGUAGGGCGGGACACGUGGUAUCCUGUCUGAAUAUGGGGGGACCAUCCUCCAAGGCUAAAUACUCCUGACUGACCGAUAGUGAACCAGUACCGUGAGGGAAAGGCGAAAAGAACCCCGGCGAGGGGAGUGAAAAAGAACCUGAAACCGUGUACGUACAAGCAGUGGGAGCCUCUUUAUGGGGUGACUGCGUACCUUUUGUAUAAUGGGUCAGCGACUUAUAUUCUGUAGCAAGGUUAACCGAAUAGGGGAGCCGAAGGGAAACCGAGUCUUAACUGGGCGUUAAGUUGCAGGGUAUAGACCCGAAACCCGGUGAUCUAGCCAUGGGCAGGUUGAAGGUUGGGUAACACUAACUGGAGGACCGAACCGACUAAUGUUGAAAAAUUAGCGGAUGACUUGUGGCUGGGGGUGAAAGGCCAAUCAAACCGGGAGAUAGCUGGUUCUCCCCGAAAGCUAUUUAGGUAGCGCCUCGUGAAUUCAUCUCCGGGGGUAGAGCACUGUUUCGGCAAGGGGGUCAUCCCGACUUACCAACCCGAUGCAAACUGCGAAUACCGGAGAAUGUUAUCACGGGAGACACACGGCGGGUGCUAACGUCCGUCGUGAAGAGGGAAACAACCCAGACCGCCAGCUAAGGUCCCAAAGUCAUGGUUAAGUGGGAAACGAUGUGGGAAGGCCCAGACAGCCAGGAUGUUGGCUUAGAAGCAGCCAUCAUUUAAAGAAAGCGUAAUAGCUCACUGGUCGAGUCGGCCUGCGCGGAAGAUGUAACGGGGCUAAACCAUGCACCGAAGCUGCGGCAGCGACGCUUAUGCGUUGUUGGGUA
rnacentral:rRNA from 1 species